UACGAAGGGGGCUAGCGUUGUUCGGAAUCACUGGGCGUAAAGCGCACGUAGGCGGACAUUUAAGUCAGGGGUGAAAUCCCGAGGCUCAACCUCGGAACUGCCUUUGAUACUGGGUGUCUUGAGUAUGGUAGAGGUUGGUGGAACUGCGAGUGUAGAGGUGAAAUUCGUAGAUAUUCGCAAGAACACCAGUGGCGAAGGCGGCCAACUGGACCAUUACUGACGCUCAGGCACGAAAGCGUGGGGAGCAAACAGG
rnacentral:rRNA from 1 species